rnacentral:rRNA from 1 species
CAGUAGCCACGGUAAUACGAAGGGGGCUAGCGUUGUUCGGAUUAACUGGGCGUAAAGGGCGCGUAGGCGGGUUUUUAAGUCAGAGGUGAAAUCCCAAGGCUCAACCUUGGAACUGCCUUUGAUACUGGAAGUCUUGAGUCCGGGAGAGGUGAGUGGAACUGCGAGUGUAGAGGUGAAAUUCGUAGAUAUUCGCAAGAACACCAGUGGCGAAGGCGGCUCACUGGCCCGGUACUGACGCUGAGGCGCGAAAGCGUGGGGAGCAAACAGGAUUAGAUACCCGGGUAGUCCCUGUCUCUUAUAA